rnacentral:rRNA from 2 species
UUUUUUUUUGUUUUAUUCUACCUGACGAACACUGGUAGAGGUCUUUUACACCAAGUAGAGCGCCGACAGGAGAAGCUCGCUCUCAGAUGGUAAGCGGCGCCCGGGUGAGUAACACGUAGACACCCUGCCUACAAGCUAGCUACAGCUUCAGGAACCGGUAGCUAAUACAGAAGCGUCGUUAUCUUCUCCUGAUACAAAAUAGAAGGCGUGCAGCACUCUGUCACUUGAGGAGGGCCCUAUGCGCCUUAGAUUGGUUGGUGGGGUAUCGGCUCACCAGGGAGAUAAUGGGUAGCCACCUGGAGGGGGGGUUGGCCCCCAGAGGGGGUGACCCACGACCCGGAUUCUUAGGGAAGGCACCGUUUGGAAUUCUUCGCAACAGGGGGAAAUCUUGCCCAACCAAUGCGAGCGGGAUGAGGAGGCUUUUCGGUUGGAAAGGCUCCGUUUCCAGGGAAAACCUCUUUGAGGAGUAACGAAUCUAAAGUGACGGUACCUACAGAAGAAGCCCCGGCUAACUACGUGCCAGCAGCCGCGGUAAUACGUAGGGGGCCAGCGUUAUCCGGAAUUAUUGGGCGUAAAGGGCUCGCCGGCGGUUCAUUAAGUUUGUGGUGAAAGUCCCGGGCUUAACCCCGGAUUCGCAGUGGAAACUGGGAGACUUGAGUGCAGAAGAGGAGAGUGGAAUUCCACGUGUAGCGGUGAAAUGCGCAGAUACGGGAGGAACACCAGUGGCGAAGGCGACUCUCUGGGCUGUAACUGACGCUGAUGCGCGAAAAGACCGCG